AUAUUUCGGAACUGAAUCUAGUUCCUUCGAUAUCAAUGUAAUCUAAAUCAUGAUUUAGAUUACAUUGAUAUCGAAGGAACUAGAUUCAGUUCCGAAAUAU
rnacentral:miRNA from 1 species